rnacentral:lncRNA from 1 species
UAGCCUAAUUUCAAUAUUCCGGACAUUUUUCGUGUUUUGACUUUUUCGAUCCGGAGUACGGUUUUCCCCGGAGUCGGUCCGGCGGAGUUUUCGGGUAUUUUAAUUGUCGAUAAUUAUCCAGUUUGUCUCGAUAAACGUGAACCGAGAUAUUUUCUUCAUCCUUAUCAUGUAAUAAUUGCAGUGGGACCCGCAGACCAAUAAUUGAGUUAAAAAGCCCCGUUUUGAUGAUUAUCUUGAAAACUAGUACCGAUUGGACCCCACUUUAUUAAUAUAAAGCUAUUAAAUACGUAUUUUCAUGUCAUAAACGAUCCAAAGGGGUACCAAUUAUUUGUAAAUAUAAAUAUACCUUUCUAGAGCUUAUUUUCACCCGUAAAAUCAUUUCACCAGUUUCUCUGCACGAAUACCGAGAGAAACCGAGCGGUGUUCUUCGUGUUCUUCAUAAUCAAACGUGGAUUUGAAGGCGUUAUUGGAGUCAGAAUCAAGCGUGCGAAUAGUCAAAACGAAGAUAUCGAGGAGUAGAAUCCAUAUCAAUGAUCAAAAACAACAUGAGAUUCCCAGG